UCAGAUCACGUAAUUUUUUAAUAGUCGAACAGACUAUUUUUUUAGCUUCUUCACCAAAAAUAAAAAUUAAUUCAACAUCGAGGUCACAAACUUAAUUAUUAAUAAGAACUUGUUAAUUAAAUUAUGCUGUUAUCCCUAGAGUAACUUCAUUUUAUAAUUAAUAAAUCUUCAAAAAUUUAUAUCUUCAACUGUUGCCCCAACCAAAAAUUUUUCAAUCACAAGCUUCUAGGGUCUUCUCGUCCCAAAAAUUUAUAAAAGCAUUUUUACUUUUAAUUUAAAUUCAAGAUAACUAAAUAAAACUAUCCUCUUUAGUUUAAACCCUUCAUUCCAGUUUUCAAUUAAAAAA
rnacentral:rRNA from 1 species